rnacentral:rRNA from 1 species
UACGUAGGGUGCAAGCGUUGUCCGGACUUAUUGGGCGUAAAGAGCUCGUAGGCGGUCUGUCGCGUCGAAUGUGAAAACCCGGGGCUCAACCCCGGGCCUGCAUUCGAUACGGGCAGACUAGAGUUCGGUAGGGGAGUCUGGAAUUCCUGGUGUAGCGGUGAAAUGCGCAGAUAUCAGGAGGAACACCGGUGGCGAAGGCGGCAUCCUGGACCAUAACUGACGCUGAGGCGCGAAAGCUAGGGGAGCAAACGGG